UCCGGGUACGGGGAGAGCGUGACCGCAGAGCCGUCUCCACCUCCAAAACCCCAAAACCCCAAAGCAGCGCAGCCCGACACCCGCGCGCGGCGGCCUGGGGCGCCACGGGUCCCGGCCCCCAGGUCACCGCGUCUGGGCUCUGCGAGUGCUGAAGGGCCCGGGCGCCUGACAUGGCCGACGGCUGCGAGCACCAAAGCGCCCCGUGAGCCAGGCUCGAAGUCACGUCCGCCCCGCGUGGGCCGCACCCCGAGGCGGGCGCCCUCGGCACCCCGCGUGGGCCGCACCCAGUACAGGGCAGGCACCUCCAUUUUGUUGCUCCUGAAAUGGCGGCCGCGUAUGGAGCAAGCAAUAAAACGAAAAUGAAAGCGGCCAGCAAACCCAUUUAACACGUAAAAGAGCAGUACCCACGGUAACACUCUCAGGAAAACGCAAAAGGUGUUCUAAAAUCCUUCUGAAAAAACCUUAGCGGCUGAAAAACCUUAAGGGCUCCCGUUUUUUAUGAGCUAUUAUUUAUUUUCAUAGUCUAUGGUUUUCAUCUUGCGACCUAAAAACUUAUCUGCACUUCCUGGAACGUCUUAAAUAUUUCCCCGUAUUAGCAAGGACUUAAAACACAUAAGAAAAAUCUAGAAACUUGGAAGUCAGGCUCUGUUUUUAACUUUCCGGAGGGACUAUUUUUUCUCCCUUCACCAAGGUGGUGGAAGGUUACGCGGUUCCGGUUGUGUGAGUUGUCCUUGCCCUAUAAAUACGGGUCCUCCCGGGCCUGCGUCAGGCAUUCAGGCAGCAAGAGCGCAGGGGCUGCUGAGGCAGGAGACGCAGCUUGAGGAAAUCGCAGAUAAGUUUCUACCUAAAAAGAUUGAGAUUAAAAAAAAUUAGAAUUCUAAACUUAAAUUGUUAAAUAGAGCAGCUUGUGGAGAUGUCGCUUAGCGUUAAAUUCUUAAAGUAACUUCUAUUGUAAAAAGCUUUUUAACGGAAAAUAUGAAGCCUUAUUUAAGGAGUUUAAAACAGGAAAAGAGAAGAAAAAUAUUUGUAAGGUAUGAUGGAGGCUGAGAUGAAGGUUUUAUGGAGUAGUUUAAAAGAUUGUAAAGGGAGGGAGUACAGAGCCUUUAAAAAGCAUUUAAUAUGGAGGUCAGCCUUGUAGACUAAAACGAAGGUUGCUUAAAAUAAUCCAAAUGCCAUUUAAAAACAGUAAAAUCUUAGAUAAUAGCUUAAAAAUCAGCUUAAAAAGAUUGAAAAAUCGGUUAAGUUGAAGGCGGUUAUGAAAGACCUUCGGUUGAUGGCGCAGGAAAGAUUGCGUCAUUUGAAGCAAUUUAUGUUCCAAGGCAUUUGAGGUGGAAACGGAAGUUUAAUUGGAAUUAGUAGCUUAGUAUUGGAGAAAGAAGAUUAGGAAUUGAAGUGGAAAACGAAGACAGAAGUACAGGGAAGAGAAGAAAAGCUGUAGAGAAGAUAGGAAAAUAGAAGACGAAGCAUCUUUAGAAGACAGGUAUUUAACCGUAAUGGUAGGAAGCAGAAGAGAAACGUAGGAAAGUGACAAACUAAGAAAACUAGAAGAAGCAAGAUAGAACAGCAAGUUCAGACAACUUUGGAUUCAAGCAUUCAAGAUAGGCAAAGAAGAUAAGAUUGACCAAAAGGUUGGCUAAAAUGUAAAUUCUCAAGAAUAAGGAAGUUAUUUUUAUAUUCAUAAAUUCAAAUUUCUGACGGAGCAGUUUGGUGUAGACGGCCACUGUACCAGAGUGAAGCUAGAAGUCAAACCUAGGACUGAAGGAAUUGGAAAGUUAAGGCAGAAUGUGUUUGAAGAGUUAGAAGAAUUUUAAAAGCCUUAACUUUAGCGUAAAUUUGUUUGAAAAACAAAGGACUUUUGCUAACAAUUUCAAGAUUAUCAGCAUUUUUGCGUUGGACUUUGAGCUUGAGGUGCUUGUAAAAAUCCUAAGGACUUAGUAUUGGCAGCAGACCCAGGUCUACACAGAAGUGGAUUCAGUGAACCUAGGAAGACAGGAGUCCCGAGGCCAGUUUGGUGAAGAUAGUCCAGGAAGCAGUGCGGUUCGGUGGAGGAAGCUAGGAAGAAGAGCCCUAACGCUGUGGUGAAGCUAGGGGAGGAUUCCAGGAAGGUGGAGCCAGUGGAGUUGGUGAUGAGAAGCUAGCUGGCGGCUUGGCGACUGCGCAGAGGAGGCGAGCAGGCAUUGUGGAGAGGAUAGAUAGCGGCUCCUAGACCAGCAUGCCAGUGUGCAAGAAAGGCUGCAGGGAGAGCAUGUGGUGCGGUAACAUUCCGUGAGGCCGGCAACGCGGUGUUUUUCUGUAACUUGAGGAUGGUAACUUGUUUAUUUUGCCUUAAUGGUAAUGGGGGAGUUGUAAGCUUGUGUGUAAAGGGAUUUCUUUGGGGCUGUAGGCCGGUUCCGGGUGUCGUAGGUUUUUCUUUUUCAGGCUUAUGUCUUCUCUCAUCUUGUCUGAAGCUUUUGAGGGCAGACUGCCAAGGCCCGGAAGAAUGGUAGAUGGCAAGUUGUCUUAACCAAUUGGAGGGAAAAAUGAAUGGUAGAGCCAACACAAUCCCACCAGUUUGUGAGAAGUUUUAGUUUUUGUGAACAGAUGACCUACUGCAGUCUCCUGCAAGUCUCCUAUGUAGUUGGGAGGUAACUGGGCAAAGUGUUUCUGUGGGGAUGGGGGCAAAAUAUGUUUUGAGUUCUUUUCCCCUUAGGUCUUUCUAGAAUCCUAAAGGCAGAUGACUCAAGGGAACCAGAAAAGAAAAUCCAGUAUCAGGAUAAUCUGAACUCAACAGGUUUACAGUUUCUAGGAAUUAGAGGAUGGAUAAUAGCUUUCACUUUGAGUCUGGAGGAGCUGUCCAUUGGAGAAAUAUGGCUGGUAGUUAAUUCUUUCUCCCCUCCCUUAAUGAGACUGGUAAAAUUCCUCAUCUUUUAAACUGCAUUUUUACUUGAAAUAUUUGGGGAUGGUCUUAACAGGGAGGAUCGGGUGGGGGAGAUGUUUUUUCUAAGAUUCUCCACAGAUGCUAGUUCUGUUGGCACGCUGGGUAGAGAGGCGUGUGCUGCCCUGCGGUUGGCAUGACCUUCAGGGACUGGAGCUGCCCUUUAUCCUUGGAAGAGGUUUCCCACUUGCGGCUGAAGUACAGCACAGUGCAGCUUUGGUUCAGUCACCUCAGGAGACCCUCAGGAGCUUGACUAGGCCAGAUGUUGAAGUUAAGUUUUCAAGCACCAUGACUUAAAAUGUUUCAAUUAAAGGGGAGGGGAAAACCUAGUUGGCUGUGGCCUGUUGUGUUUGGGUGGUGGUGGGGGGUUAGGUAAUUGUUUAGUUUAUGAUUUCAGAUAAUCAUACCAGAGAACUUAAAUACUUAGGAUGGAAAAACUGAGGAAAUCUCAGCUUUCAAGUUGGCAAGUAACUCCCAAUCUUCCAGUUUUUGUUGCUCUGGGAAUGCCUACCAGUAAUUUGGGCAAGGAGAGUAAACCAAAACAGUUGUCUGUUUUCUUAAAUGUGUGUAGAGCUUGGGGGUUGGUCUGGUCCACUGGAGUGAUGAAAACUAGAGUGUUGGGGUUCUUUUUUUUUUUAAGUUACUGGAUAUAGAUUGUAGUGUGUGGUUCUCUUGAAAUUUUUUUCAGGUGACUUAAUGUGUCUUAAUAACUACUAUAGGAGCUUCAGAGCAGAGGAAGUGGCUUAAUGACCCUGCAGGGAAUUCUCCUGGUGAUAGCUUUUAUAUUAUCAAGUAAGAGAUUCCAUAUCAGUGUGUAUAAGCAAGUCUUUUUCCUAGUGUAGGAGAAAUGCUUUUCCUUUGUGACAAGAUGUGAAGGUAUGCCUCUUUUUGUAUGUGUGCAUUGUAUACUUUGUAUUUAUUUGUACUUUAUAAUUUAAGAAUGUGGUAGUUCAGCCUGAAUGUCUUAGAGGGUGGGCUUCUGUUGAUGGGGAGGGAAACCUUUUUUUUCUGUAGACUUUUUUCAGAUAACAUCAUUGAAUCAUAACCAGCCUGGCAGUAUGAUGACCUAGCUGCAGAGGGAACAGCUCGUUGGUGAAUGAUAAGUAAAGGCAGAAAAGAUAAUGUCAUGUCUCCAUUGGGGAAUGAGCAUGAGCCCGAGAUUCUUACUACUGAUGAAAACCAUGUCUCCAUAUGCAAAAAAUUAAGCAAAUGAAAGCAACCAGUAUAAAGUUACGGAAUCUACCAUGUUUAAAAAAAAAAUAAUGGCUUAUCAAGUAAAGAAUUGAUGAAAAACAAUGAAGAUCAAAUGUCCAUCUCAAAACACUGCUUUUACAAAAGCAGAAUAAAAAAAUGAAAUGAAAUGAAAAUGCUACAUUAAUCCUGGAGUAAAAAGAAGCUGAAAUUAAUUGAUAUGAGUGGGAUCAAGUGGAUUGAGAGGAGGCUGUGCAGUGUGCCAAUCUUUCCUUUGCCUCAGACAGGUUUCUCUUCAUAAUCAGAAGAGUUGCUUCAUUUCAUCUCGGAGCAGGAAACAGCAGACUGCUGUUAAAACAGAUAAGUUUAACUUGAAUCUGCAGUAUUGCAUGUUAGGGAUAAGUGCUUAUUUUUGUAAGAGCUGUGGAGGUAUUAAAUAUUUGUCCUUGCCUGACCCCUUCCUUUGGGGAUUUCAGGAUAGUGAGCAGUUUUCCCAUCCAGCCUUUUAGAAGUUCUAGGCCUUGUGCCAAUGGGCUUUCAUGAUGGGACAGUCAGUAAAAGGCUUUUGCAUCCUAAAUAACUUCAUCACAAAAGCCUUGUAUACAUGAUUAGUGACUGCUUAAAUCACAUUGCUUACAAAACUAAGGAAUCUUUUUCACUUGAUUCUCUGAAGAGCCUGUGAAAGGGAUGUAGCAUUAUGUGCUGAAAGUCAGAUAUGUUCAUCUUGCUAAAAUUUAAAUGUGCUAAAUGUACUUGUGCUUAAACCAUUAAAUUAUACAAAUUAAUAAAAUACUUGGCUAGAGAAUGUAUGUAUUUAGAAAGCUGUCUCCUUAUUUAAAUAAAGUAUUGUUUGUCUGUAGUUAGUGUUGGGCAAUCUUGGGGGGGUGUUCUUUUCUAAUCUUUCAGAAAUUUUGUCUUCGAACACUUAAACGGACAAGAUCAGGACUUGCAGAAGACCGAAUUUAACUUUAAGGCAGGAAAGACAAAUUUUAUUCUCCAUACAGUGAUGAAUGAGCAUUUAAUAAUUCCAGGCGUGGCAUAGAGGCCCUCUAAAUAAGGAAUAAGUACCUUAGACAGGUGGGAGGUAAUGGUCAGAGUAAAAGGUAACUACAUAUUUUGUUUCCAGAAAGUCAGGGGUCUAAUUUGACAAUGGCUAAACAUCUAGGGUAAGAUAACUUUUCCACAUUUCCAAAUUUGCAUGUUAAGUUUAAAUGCUUACGACCAUCUCAUUCACUGUUAGCCUUUUCUCACCUCACUUGAGCCAGGAGUUGGGGUGGGCAUGUGGGUUUUUAAAAUUUUUCCUUUGCAGAGGCUUCAUUUCAUCCUUCAUGAAGCUGCUCAGGAUUUUGACUUGCAUAUGAGUGCUUGGCUCUGUCUUCUGUUCUGCUAGUGAGUGUGUGGGACCUUGCAGUGAGUUUUUCAUGGAAUCCGGAGGGAAGGGAGAGGGGGGGCUUACUUGUUCUAGCUUUUUUUUACAGACUACACAGAGAAUGCAGUUGUCUUGACUUCAGGUCUUGUCUGUUCUUUGGCAAGUAAUAUGCAGUACUGUUCGAAUCUGCUGCUAUUAGAAUGCAUUGUGACCGACUGGAUAUGGUUAAAAGUUGUGUUUUCCCAAAUGUUUGGAGUAGUGAUUGUGGAGGAAAACCAUGAGUGAUACAUACAGGCUGAGUGUUGAGGAAAUGGCUCUGCAGCUUAAAGUAACACGUGUUUGUGAUUGAAGCCAAGUUCCUUUUGCGUGCUGCUUUAGGUAAAUGUUUUUGUUCAUUUUUGGUGAGGGGGGAUGGGGGCACUGAAGCCUUUAGUCUUUUCCAGAUUCAACCUAAAAUCUUGACAAGAAAUAAAUUCAGACAAGCAACAUUCUUGAAGAAAUUUUAACUGGCAAGUGGAAAUGUUUUAACAGUUCAGUGGUCUUUAGUGCAUUGUCUGUGUGGGUGUCUCUCUCCCCUCCCUUGGUCUUAAUUCUUACAUGCAGGAACAUUGAGAACAGCAGACAAGUUUGCGAGGGGCCAGAGAAGCCAGACCCAGUAAGGAAAACAAUAGCCCCUUUACUUUAAAUCAAUAAGUGAACCAAGCGUUGCUUUCACUGUGGGGAUUGGGAAGCACUAGUUCUUUCAGAUGUGCUCUUCAGACUGUAGAGGAGCUUCCCAUUGAACUCACCAGUGGACAAGAUGAGGACACCAGGUGAACAACAAGCCUUUUCUUGUUUAAGAUUAGUGACUGGUAAACAAACUAGAGUUGGGUCCUCUUCAGCUUCAUGCUGGAGCGGUUAGCAUGUGAUGAACAAGUGGUGUGUUGUUGGCCUUGGGGUGGAGGGGUGAGGUGGGCGCUAAGCCUUUUCUUAAGAUUUUUCAGGUACCCCUCACUAAAGGCACCAAAGGCUUAAUGUAGGACAGCGGAGCGAACCUUCCUGUGGCAAGAGACAACCAAGCACUAUUAUACCAAGGUCAAAGUGGUGUCACGGUCUGGUUUUGGUUAGCAAUGAGAACUGCCUCAACACCCUGCUUGGCGUGAAGAAUACUGGAGUGUCCCUGGGCUUGUUUUAAUGUCCAAAAAAAGCUGUUUUUAUAGCAGCUGUUAACCAGCCCAUACCUCAUUGUGCUUGAAGGGGAGGGAAAGGGGGAAAGUGGGCAACCAGUUUUCCCUAGCUUUUCCAGAAGCCUGUUACAAGGUCUCCCCACAAGUGACUUCUCUGCCACAUCGCCACCCUGUGCCUUUGGCUUAAUCACAGACCCUUCACCCCUCACCUUGAUGCAGCCAGUAGCUGGAUCCUUGAGGGCAUGAUGCGUAAUCGGUUUCAAGGUAACCACGGUGCCAAGGUCCGGUGGGUUGCUCUAGAAAAGGCCAUUUUUGUCCUGCCUGUAAAUUAACAGAACAUUAAAACCACAGCUAAGUAGCUAAGAUGUUUUUAAGUAUGUAGCACCUAUUCAGUGACUAAACAAACUUAAACCAGUCAGGGGAACAGUAAUGUUUGAUAUUUGACUGCUGGGUGGGAGUCAGCUGAGCAAGGCAAGCCUCGGUUAGGAAGCUGCUGGGGUGGGAUUGCCAAAAUUCUCUGCUAAGACUUUUUCAGGUGGACAUUACAGACUUGACCAAGCUAGCUUCUUAGCGGAAGGAGAUUCUUCAGUAGGGCUCUAAAGGUUUUUCUUUUCCUGAGAAAACAAACUCUUGUUUUCUCAGGUUUUGCUUUUUGGCCUUUCCCUAGCUUAAAAAAAAAAAGCAAAAGAUGCCGGUGGUUGGCACUCCUGGUUUCCAGGAUGGGGUUCAAAUCCCUGCGGUGUCUUUGCUUGAUUCUCAAUAUUAAAAGGCCUUAGCAUUUCCUUGGGGGGAGGUGAAGGCUCAGGAGAUGGGAGCAGACAUUGUGGAUCUCUGCCCAGCCCCAGUG